rnacentral:rRNA from 1 species
UACGGGGGGGGCAAGCGUUGUUCGGAAUUACUGGGCGUAAAGGGCGCGUAGGCGGGUGGCCAAGUCGGUGGUGAAAUCCUCCAGCUCAACUGGAGAACUGCCUUCGAUACUGGUCGCCUGGAGGGGGUAGGGGCAGACGGAACUUCCGGUGGAGCGGUGAAAUGCGUAGAUAUCGGAAGGAACGCCGGCGGCGAAAGCGGUCUGCUGGACCCCCACUGACGCUGAGGCGCGAAAGCCAGGGAGCAAACGGG